rnacentral:rRNA from 1 species
GACGAACGCUGGCGGCGUGCCUAAUACAUGCAAGUAGAACGCUGAAGAGAGGAGCUUGCUCUUCUUGGAUGAGUUGCGAACGGGUGAGUAACGCGUAGGUAACCUGCCUUGUAGCGGGGGAUAACUAUUGGAAACGAUAGCUAAUACCGCAUAACAAUGGAUGACACAUGUCAUUUAUUUGAAAGGGGCAAUUGCUCCACUACAAGAUGGACCUGCGUUGUAUUAGCUAGUAGGUGAGGUAACGGCUCACCUAGGCGACGAUACAUAGCCGACCUGAGAGGGUGAUCGGCCACACUGGGACUGAGACACGGCCCAGACUCCUACGGGAGGCAGCAGUAGGGAAUCUUCGGCAAUGGGGGCAACCCUGACCGAGCAACGCCGCGUGAGUGAAGAAGGUUUUCGGAUCGUAAAGCUCUGUUGUAAGUCAAGAACGAGUGUGAGAGUGGAAAGUUCACACUGUGACGGUAGCUUACCAGAAAGGGGCGGCUAACUACGUGCCAGCAGCCGCGGUAAUACGUAGGUCCCGAGCGUUGUCCGGAUUUAUUGGGCGUAAAGCGAGCGCAGGCGGUUUGAUAAGUCUGAAGUUAAAGGCUGUGGCUCAACCAUAGUUCGCUUUGGAAACUGUCAAACUUGAGUGCAGAAGGGGAGAGUGGAAUUCCAUGUGUAGCGGUGAAAUGCGUAGAUAUAUGGAGGAACACCGGUGGCGAAAGCGGCUCUCUGGUCUGUAACUGACGCUGAGGCUCGAAAGCGUGGGGAGCGAACAGGAUUAGAUACCCUGGUAGUCCACGCCGUAAACGAUGAGUGCUAGGUGUUGGAUCCUUUCCGGGAUUCAGUGCCGCAGCUAACGCAUUAAGCACUCCGCCUGGGGAGUACGACCGCAAGGUUGAAACUCAAAGGAAUUGACGGGGGCCCGCACAAGCGGUGGAGCAUGUGGUUUAAUUCGAAGCAACGCGAAGAACCUUACCAGGUCUUGACAUCCCGAUGCUAUUUCUAGAGAUAGAAAGUUACUUCGGUACAUCGGUGACAGGUGGUGCAUGGUUGUCGUCAGCUCGUGUCGUGAGAUGUUGGGUUAAGUCCCGCAACGAGCGCAACCCCUAUUGUUAGUUGCCAUCAUUCAGUUGGGCACUCUAGCGAGACUGCCGGUAAUAAACCGGAGGAAGGUGGGGAUGACGUCAAAUCAUCAUGCCCCUUAUGACCUGGGCUACACACGUGCUACAAUGGUUGGUACAACGAGUUGCGAGUCGGUGACGGCAAGCUAAUCUCUUAAAGCCAAUCUCAGUUCGGAUUGUAGGCUGCAACUCGCCUACAUGAAGUCGGAAUCGCUAGUAAUCGCGGAUCAGCACGCCGCGGUGAAUACGUUCCCGGGCCU